UCUGUAUUAGCAGGGUAAGUUUUCAGUCUCUCUUUUAAAAGGAAACUCAAAUGAACUUUUGAUGAUGAAAUCAAAGAGCAUGAAAGAUAUUGAUGGUUCUCGUGUCGUCCCAAUGGGUUUUUGCAGAAUGAACAAAAUAGCUGUAACCUUUUGUCUGGUAGAGGAACGGCUAAUGAACAUGAACCAGGAGUGCUGACACAAGAUGUGUUGUUUUCUUCUUCAAUGAGGUUUAUAAAUGGAGUAACUGUUAUUGAUAUUUUACUUCCAGUAGUUGAAGACACGGGAAAACAUGACAAGCGAUCCAUUGCAGAUCGAGCAGAAGCCUCAAUUAUGGUGGAAUCAGAAGUUUUAUCCUUAGAAUAAUCGGAGCUGACAGCAUCAUUACAAAUAUCUAAAUAUGGGCUUUCCUUGACAAUGGAGGUUUCAUCAUGUGCAAAUGUCACGGAUGAUGCCCCAGGGAACCUGUAAAAGAUCUAAGCAUUUUAGUAGAUGAUUUUUUCUUGUCCAGGUGCAUCUGAGAAUUAAGAUACUAAGGUCGGUCAUUCAUCCCAAAUUGAAACCCGCAAAUAUCCCCCAGCCAAAACAUGAUAAAAAGGCAUAUAGGCAUUAGGCCAAAUCCUAAUUAAAUAUCUACCUGUAAGAUUACACUUCGACAAAAUAGUUAAUUCAGGCCUAAGAUCAAUCAGUGCAGUAGUUUCUUUAAUUUCUGUGUAAUUAAUCAGACUACACAACUGUUUAUUAUGUAAUUACUAUAAAUACAAAUUAUGUGAUUGUUAAUUCCAAUCGUUAAGACACUAAUUUGGGAUUGUACAGCUAAUGCAUACCAAUCUUCCCUCAUUCCAUAAUCACCACAUCGAGAAGGAAUAGCCUAGAUGGGUAUUGGGACAAACGGUUAUAUAACGUAUUAUUGUUCUAAGGUAAUUAUCAACCAUUGUUUCCUUUACCACUCCCCCUAAAUUGUAAUUAAAAUAAUUACACCACAAGAGCUUGGACUCCCACUUUGCUGCUCCCAUGGAGCACUCUGUUCUACAAGGUGUUUCGACUUUCUUUGGUUUGCACAAAUUAGGAAAUAAUUCCCCAUUAAGUAUGACCUCCACUUUUGCAAUGCAAAACUGCCUGGCCUCCUCUCCCCACAAUGAGUCAA